rnacentral:rRNA from 1 species
UACGUAGGUGGCGAGCGUUGUCCGGAUUUAUUGGGUUUAAAGGGUGCGUAGGCGGCCCCGUUAGUCAGCGGUGAAAUACGGCAGCUUAACUGUCGAGGUGCCGUUGAUACUGCGGGGCUUGAGUGCGGUCGAGGAGGGCGGAAUUGACGGUGUAGCGGUGAAAUGCUUAGAUAUCGUCAAGAACACCGAUAGCGAAGGCAGCCCUCCAGGCCGCAACUGACGCUGAGGCACGAAAGUGCGGGGAU